rnacentral:rRNA from 1 species
AAUGUGAUUUGGGAAACUUUUUGGCUAAGGGAUCGGCCUAUAUUGUAUCAGCUAGUUGGUGAGGUAAGAGCUCACCAAGGCAAUGACACAUAGCGGGUCUGAGAGGAUGAUCCGCCACACUGGUACUGAGACACGGAGCNGACUCCUACGGGAGGCAGCAGUGGGGAAUAUUGCACAAUGGGGGAAACCCUGAUGCAGCAACGCCGCGUGGAGGAUGACACAUUUCGGUGCGUAAACUCCUUUUAUAUAAGAAGAUAAUGACGGUAUUAUAUGAAUAAGCACCGGCUAACUCCGUGCCAGCAGCCGCGGUAAUACGGAGGGUGCAAGCGUUAUUCGGAAUCACUGGGCGUAAAGGGUGCGUAGGCGGUUUGGAAAGUCAGAUGUGAAAGCCUAUGGCUUAACCAUAGAACUGCAUUUGAAACUUCCAGACUAGAAUACUGAAGGGGCAGAUGGAAUUAGUGGUGUAGGGGUAAAAUCCGUAGAUAUCACUAGGAAUACCGAAAGCGAAAGCGAUCUGCUGGGAAGUUAUUGACGCUGAGGCACGAAAGCGUGGGGAGCAAACGGGAUUAGAUACCCCGGUAGUCCACGCCCUAAACGAUGAAUGCUAGUCGUCGGGACGCUUGUCGUUUCGGUGAUGCACUUGACAGAUUAAGCAUUCCCGCCUGGGGAGUACGGUCGCAAGAUUNAAACUCNAAGGAAUAGACGGGGACCCGCACAAGUGGUGGAGCAUGUGGUUUAAUUCGAAGAUACGCGAAGAACCUUACCUAGCCUUGACAUUGAUAGAAUCCUGUAGAGAUACGGGAGUGCUGGCUUGCCAGAACUAGAAAACAGGUGCUGCACGGCUGUCGUCAGCUCGUGUCGUGAGAUGUUGGGUUAAGUCCCGCAACGAGCGCAACCCUCGUCGUUAGUUGCUAACAGUUCGGCUGAGCACUCUAGCGAGACUGCCUUCGCAAGGAGGAGGAAGGUGAGGACGACGUCAAGUCAUCAUGGCCCUUACGGCUAGGGCUACACACGUGCUACAAUGGGGCGUACAGAGAGUUGCGAUACCGCGAGGUGGAGCCAAUCUCAUAAAGCGUCUCUCAGUUCGGAUUGUUCUCUGCAACUCGAGAGCAUGAAGCUGGAAUCACUAGUAAUCGUAGAUCAGCAAUGCUACGGUGAAUACGUUCCCGGGUCUUGUACUCACCGCCCGUCACACCAUGGGAGUUGAUUUCACCCGAAAUCGGGAAGCGAACCUUCGGGCGCUAC